rnacentral:rRNA from 1 species
AUUGAACGCUGGCGGCAGGCCUAACACAUGCAAGUCGAGCGAGCGGCGGACGGGUGAGUAAUGUCUGGGGAACUGCCUGAUGGAGGGGGAUAACUACUGGAACCGGUAGCUAAUACCGCAUACGAUCAGAUUAGCCCAGAGGGGGUUAGCUAGUAGGUGUGGUAACGGCUCACCGAGGCGACGAUCCCUAGCUGGUCUGAGAGGAUGACCAGCCACACUGUAACUGAGACACGGUCCAGACUCCUACGGGGGGCAGCAGUGGGGAAUAUUGCACAAUGGGCGCAAGCCUGAUGCAGCCAUGCCGCGUGUGUGAAGAAGGCCUUAGGGUUGUAAAGUACUUUCAGUAGGGAGGCGUUACCUACAGAAGAAGCACCGGCUAACUCCGUGCCAGCAGCCGCGGUAAUUC